UGGUGGAGUGAUUUGUCUGGUUUAUUCCGUUAACGAACGAGACCUCAGCCUACUAAAUAGUCAUCCGCAUCCUUCGGGAUGUCGGUUUGGUGACUUCUUAGAGGGACUUUCGAUGAGAGUCGAAGGAAGCUUGAGGCAAAAGCA
rnacentral:rRNA from 1 species